rnacentral:rRNA from 1 species
GAUGAACGCUGGCGGCGUGCCUAAUACAUGCAAGUCGAGCGAACAGACGAGGAGCUUGCUCCUCUGACGUUAGCGGCGGACGGGUGAGUAACACGUGGAUAACCUACCUAUAAGACUGGGAUAACUUCGGGAAACCGGAGCUAAUACCGGAUAAUAUAUUGAACCGCAUGGUUCAAUAGUGAAAGACGGUUUUGCUGUCACUUAUAGAUGGAUCCGCUCCGAAUUAGCUAGUUGGUAAGGUAACGGCUUACCAAGGCGACGAUGCGUAGCCGACCUGAGAGGGUGAUCGGCCACACUGGAACUGAGACACGGUCCAGACUCCUACGGGAGGCAGCAGUAGGGAAUCUUCCGCAAUGGGCGAAAGCCUGACGGAGCAAAGCCGCGUGGGUGAUGAAGGUCUUCGGAUCGUAAAACUCUGUUAUUAGGGAAGAACAAAUGUGUAAGUAACUAUGCACGUCUUGACGGUACCUAAUCAGAAAGAAACGGCUAACUACGUG